AUAGUUCAUGCUUGCUUCAGCCUUCAUAGCAAUUGUCUCGGGGUGGUCUGAUGAUGGAAGGUCCGCUGGGGACUUUCCGGCCAUUUUCUGUAGAAAAGAAACAUUACAAUUGGAUGUUAACGCUGGUAUACAUACAGCUUUAUGCUGUAUGUACAAUAUAUAACGCGCGAAGAGAAAUACAAAUCCUUUCUGUACGGCUUUCGAGUGUGCGGGAGCGAUGCAUGUAGGGAAUUUGGAUUUAGGCUAUUAUUCAAAGCCACAAUCCAAAUUAUUAUUACACAAUCCAAACAUUGACGGAUGUCCAAAACGGGAAGACUGAAUUGCUUGUUUUGAUUGCGUUUGAUAGAACCGCAGUGUAUGCCGUGAAAAGGGGACGCGAUUUCAAAUAAAACCAUACACGGAGUUCUCUGCCUCUCUGUCCAUUGUUUGAUUUGAAAUUCGCGGGCUUUUCCCGGCAUACAUUAAGGUUGUAUCGGUAUUAUUUCAAUUCUUACAGAAAUUGCAAUCUUACCUUUUGAGAACAAAAAAGCUGAGACGAGGCGAGUCGAGACGAGGCGGGUGGAGACGGGACGAGGCGGGACGAGGCGGGACGAAGCGGGACGAGGCGAGGCGAGGCGAGGCGAGGCGAGGCGAGGCAAGAAGAGUGUAGGGGUGAUGUCCAGAAGAUUGCUCAGGGCAAGUGAUGUUUUACACAGUGCUCUCCUGACUAUAUGUUCAGGUGUGGGCGUGGUUCAGGUGUGGGCGUGGUGUGCGUGACGAGGUACACACUGUAGGCUAGCUAUUAUUCAAAGCCACAAUCCAAAUCAUGCAAUCAAGGUAUUUCCGAAUCCGUGCAUGGUUUGUUACAUUGGAAUAUUCAUACGGAAUACCAACUGUAUUAUUCAGUCUUCCCGGUUUGGACAUCCGUCAAUCUUAUCUUUUUUACUUUGGCGAGCAAGAAGUCAGGAGUUGUCGUCCAGUAUGAAGAGCAGAGAAACACAUCUACAACAUCUGUACAGGUGUGGGCGUGGCAUACUCCCAUUGUGCUUAGCGAGUUGAAUGACUUUCGUCAGCGACGCACGGCUCGCCUCACUCUGAUCGGAUUUUCUCUGCUUGAGACAUCUUUGUUCAGAUAGACCCUUUUGCUCUCCUUUCCACGGAUUAAUAUUGUGUGCGGAUUCAUUCGAGUCUGUUCUGUCUUUCAACUUUGCGUUCAACCAAAGAAGUUCGUUGUCAAGGUAAGUCCUUAUGGAAUGGAUAAUUAUGUUUAUUGUAUUAAGUUAGCAUGGUUGCUUUGGCGGUUUGUUGAUGCAGUUAUGGGAUAAGCUUUCUUCGUGAGUGACCGGUUUGUUGAGAUGAUGUGGUGAUGGCGGCG
ensembl:lncRNA